rnacentral:rRNA from 1 species
UACGUAGGGGGCUAGCGUUGUCCGGAUUUAUUGGGCGUAAAGAGCGUGUAGGCGGCCAAGUAGGUCCGGUGUGAAAACUCGAGGCUUAACCUCGAGAUGUCAUCGGAAACCAUUUGGCUAGAGUCCGGAAGAGGAAAGUGGAAUUCCUGGUGUAGCGGUGAAAUGCGUAGAUAUCGGAAGGAACACCUGUGGCGAAAGCGGCUCACUGGACCAUUACUGACGCUGAGGCACGAAAGCUAGGGGAGCAAACAGG